rnacentral:rRNA from 1 species
GACGAACGCUGGCGGCGUGCUUAACACAUGCAAGUCGAACGGAAAGGCCCUUCGGGGUACUCGAGUGGCGAACGGGUGAGUAACACGUGGGUGAUCUGCCCUGCACUUCGGGAUAAGCCUGGGAAACUGGGUCUAAUACCGGAUAUGAUCAUGCUCUUCAUGGGGUGUGGUGGAAAGCUUUUGCGGUGUGGGAUGGGCCCGCGGCCUAUCAGCUUGUUGGUGGGGUAAUGGCCUACCAAGGCGACGACGGGUAGCCGGCCUGAGAGGGUGUCCGGCCACACUGGGACUGAGAUACGGCCCAGACUCCUACGGGAGGCAGCAGUGGGGAAUAUUGCACAAUGGGCGCAAGCCUGAUGCAGCGACGCCGCGUGGGGGAUGACGGCCUUCGGGUUGUAAACCUCUUUCAGCACAGACGAAGCGCAAGUGACGGUAUGUGCAGAAGAAGCACCGGCCAACUACGUGCCAGCCGCCGCAGUAA